UAAACGUAAAUCCCUUUUAUGUUUCAUCCUAUAAACAUAACAGCACUUAAAACUUGCUCCUUUGCUUCUGUCAUUCAGAGGACGGCGGCACAGCCUCACGGUGGUCUCAAGGCUCCAGGGGUUCCUCCUCCGAGCGGUGGGCCCCGGCCGGGCCCCUAGUCGGAGGAGAGCGGGUGGGGGAACCGCCAGCGCAGGAUGGCCCCGUCUGAGCUGGUGGUCACUAGGGUGCGGCUGCUGCCACACAGCCUGACGCAGGUGAUGCUGCCGCUGUGGCCCGCGCCCACGUGGGUCACCUCGCCCUCCGAGUAGCUCCACACCUUCACCAGCUUGUCGUCUCCGCCUGCCCGGGGGAAACAUAGGAUCUUCUUGCAGUCCCUGGUGCCGGCGAUGGCGGUCACACCCAUGCUGUGUGCGUUGUCGAUGACCAGCAGGGUCCGGCCACUCUCGGGGGCGAACACGCGGAUCUUGCCGUCGUUCCAAGCUAUGGGAAAGACGCCGCUGAAUCAUCCCCAUGCUCCUGGUUCCACAAGUACAGUGAUGGGUCCUACCACUGAUGAUGCUCCGUCCGUCCACCAUGAUGUCCAGGGCAUUGCAGGUCAUGUUGGGAACGGUGAUGCGGAGUCGCUCCUUGGAGCGAUCCACGUGCCACACCCUGAUGUCCUCCUUGGAGCAGAUCCAUGUGUGUCUGUGAGUCUGCCACUCACUAGGGGAUGGCCACGGCCGUGACGGCGCUGCUGUGGCUGGAGGAGAUGAGCUCCGGCUCCUCCAGGUGGGUGUAGCUGAAGCGGUACAUCUGGGACACAUCCGUUCCAACCAGCAGCUGCUGGCCCUCACCCCGCAUGGCGAUGGAGGUCACCGCUCCCUCCAGCUGCACGCGUCUGGAACCCCGCGUGUGUGUGGGUGCAAAGGAUGAGCAGGGGGCAAAAAGAGAUGGGUUUGAUUGAUUAUCACCAGGAGGACCAAGGAAUGGUGUAUAAACGAUUGCUAAAUAAAUGCGUAUAUAUUUAAG